rnacentral:rRNA from 1 species
ACGAACGCUGGCGGCGUGCCUCAUCCCUGCCAGUCGAACGAACCGCGACUAAGUGCUUGCACUAAGUCAAGGUGAGUGGCGAACGGGUGAGUAACACGUUGGUAACCUACCUCAUAGUGGGGGAUAACAGUCGGAAACGACUGCUAAUACCGCAUAUGACAUAGGAUCACAUGAUCCAGUGAGGAAAGGUGGCGCAAGCUAUCGCUAAGAGAUGGACCCGCGUUGCAUUAGCUAGUUGGUAGGGUAAAGGCCUACCAAGGCGAUGAUGCAUAGCCGACCUGAGAGGGUGAUCGGCCACAUUGGGACUGAGACACGGCCCAAACUCCUACGGGAGGCAGCAGUAGGGAAUCUUCCGCAAUGGACGCAAGUCUGACGGAGCAACGCCGCGUGAGUGAAGAAGGUCUUCGGAUCGUAAAGCUCUGUUGUUAGAGAAGAACAGCGAAUAGAGUAACUGCUAUGCGUGUGACGGUAUCUAACCAGAAAGCCACGGCUAACUACGUG